UCCCGCUGCUGUGAUUGGCUGAUGGGUUUCUUCAUAUAGCUUCAGGACCCACAGUUCUGUCACUUCUGCUCCUGAGAACUCGACGAGUUGAAAUUAUGAUGUUCGACAAGGUAUCUCCAGGGAUAACUGGCAUAAACGCCGCAAGACCGGCAGUAAACGCAAGUCCUACCACAAGAAGAGGAAGUAUGAGCUCGGGCGUCCUCCUGCAAACACAAAGAUCGAACCUUGCUGCAUCCACACAGUGGAAACUUCUCCUGAGGCUCUGAAUGCUGCACUCGCAAGACCAGGAUUAUCGAUGUGGUCUACAACGCCUCCAACAACGAGCUGGUCAGAACCAAGACCCUGGUGAAGAACUGCAUCGUCCUCGUUGACAGCCUUCCCUCCAGGCAGUGGUAUGAGGCCCACUACACCACUCCUCUGGGACGCAAGAAGGGAGCCAAGCUGACUCCUGAGGAGAUCAAAAAGGUCUCAGAAGAAACACGACGAGUGUAAAAAGACGGCCAAGAUCGGCCCCUUCGUGGAGGAUCAGUUCCAGCAGGGAAAGAUGCUUGCAGGCUACCUCCUGGAAGGCAAAGAGCUUGAGUUCUACUUGAGGAAGGUCAAGGCCAAGAAAAGCAAAUGGAUGUACAGCUCUUUGAUUUGUCAAUAAAUUAUUUCCACCAAA